CCUACGGGGGACAGCAGUAGGGAAUUUUCGUCAAUGUGCGCAAGCCUGAACGAGCAAUGCCGCGUGAACGAGGAAGGUCUUCGGAUCGUAAAGUUCUGUUGAAGGGGAAAAAGAGCGGAGAGAGGAAAUGGUCUCCGAUUGAUAUUACCCUUCGAGGAAGUCACGGCUAACUACGUGCCAGCAGCCGCGGUAAUACGUAGGUGGCGAGUGUUAUCCGGAAUGAUUGGGCGUAAAGGGUGCGUAGGCGGCCUGCUAAGUCUGGAGUGAAAGGUAGCGGCUCAACCGGUACAGGCUCUGGGAACUGGGGAGCUAGGGGGAAAGAGAGGGCGGUGGAACUCCGGGUGUAGCGGUAAAAUGGGUAGGUAUA
rnacentral:rRNA from 1 species